rnacentral:rRNA from 1 species
CCUACGGGUGGCUGCAGUCGAGAAUCUUCGGCAAUGGGCGCAAGCCUGACCGAGCGAUGCCGCGUGUGGGAUGAAGGCCUUCGGGUUGUAAACCACUGUCAGUGGGGAGGCCAAUCCGCAGAGGAAGUACGGGCUAAGUUCGUGCCAGCAGCCGCGGUAAGACGAACCGUACGAACGUUAUUCGGAAUUACUGGGCUUAAAGGGUGCGUAGGCGGUGCAGUAAGUUGGGUGUGAAAUACCUCGGCUCAACCGAGGAACUGCACUCAAAACUACUGUGCUUGAGGAAGACAGAGGUAAGCGGAACUUAGGGUGGAGCGGUGAAAUGCGUUGAUAUCCUAAGGAACACCGGUGGCGAAAGCGGCUUACUGGGUUUUCUGACGCUGAGGCACGAAAGCUAGGGUAGCGAACGGGAUUAGAUACCCUAGUAGUC